rnacentral:rRNA from 1 species
GACGAACGCUGGCGGCGUGCUUAACACAUGCAAGUCGAACGGAAAGGCCUGCUUUCCCUUGUGGAUUGCGGGUACUCGAGUGGCGAACGGGUGAGUAACACGUGAGUGAUCUGCCCCCAACUUGGGUAUAAGCCUGGGAAACUGGGUCUAAUUCCCGAUAGGACUGCAGGGUGGUGCCUGUGGUGGAACACGAUUUUCUAGUGGUUGGGGAUGAGCUCGCGGCCUAUCAGCUUGUUGGUGGGGUAAUGGCCUACCAAGGCGGCGACGGGUAGCCGGCCUGGGAGGGUGGACGGCCACAUUGGGACUGAGAUACGGCCCAGACUCCUACGGGAGGCAGCAGUGGGGGAUAUUGCACAAUGGGCGGAAGCCUGAUGCAGCGACGCCGCGUGGGGGAUGACGGCCUUCGGGUUGUAAACUCCUUUCGACCGCGAGGAAGCCACCUGGUUGGAAGGGUGGUGACGGUAGUGGUAGAAGAAGCACCGGCUAACUACGUG